GACGAACGCUGGCGGCGUGCUUAACACAUGCAAGUCGUACGGUAAGGCCCUUUCGGGGGUACACGAGUGGCGAACGGGUGAGUAACACGUGAGUAACCUGCCCACAACUUUGGGAUAACGCUAGGAAACUGGUGCUAAUACUGGAUAUGUGCUCCUGCUGCAUGGUGGGGGUUGGAAAGCUCCGGCGGUUGUGGAUGGACUCGCGGCCUAUCAGCUUGUUGGUGGGGUAGUGGCCUACCAAGGCGGCGACGGGUAGCCGGCCUGAGAGGGUGACCGGCCACAUUGGGACUGAGAUACGGCCCAGACUCCUACGGGAGGCAGCAGUGGGGAAUAUUGCACAAUGGGCGCAAGCUUGAUGCAGCAACGCCGCGUGCGGGAUGACGGCCUUCGGGUUGUAAACCGCUUUCAGCAGGGACGAAGCUUUUUGUGACGGUACCUGCAGAAGAAGCACCGGCUAACUACGUG
rnacentral:rRNA from 1 species